rnacentral:ncRNA from 1 species
CGGGUGAAGUCGUCGGCGGCACAGCCGAACGCACCAGCUCCGGAGAACGCCCCCACCUGGGGCGCCGCCUGGUGUGAGCCGCCCUGCUGGCGUCAGAGCAGUGACGAUGACGCACCCG